rnacentral:rRNA from 1 species
UACGUAGGGGGCAAGCGUUGUCCGGAAUCAUUGGGCGUAAAGCGCGUGUAGGCGGUCCGGUAAGUCCGCUGUGAAAGUCGGGGGCUCAACCCUCGGAUGCCGGUGGAUACUGUCAGGCUAGAGUCCGGAAGAGGAGAGUGGAAUUCCUGGUGUAGCGGUGAAAUGCGCAGAUAUCAGGAAGAACACCUAUGGCGAAGGCAGCUCUCUGGGACGGUACUGACGCUGAGACGCGAAAGCGUGGGGAGCGAACAGG